rnacentral:rRNA from 1 species
UACGAAGGGGGCUAGCGUUGUUCGGAAUUACUGGGCGUAAAGCGCACGUAGGCGGAUAUUUAAGUCAGGGGUGAAAUCCCGGGGCUCAACCCCGGAACUGCCUUUGAUACUGGGUAUCUCGAGUCCGGGAGAGGUGAGUGGAACUGCGAGUGUAGAGGUGAAAUUCGUAGAUAUUCGCAAGAACACCAGUGGCGAAGGCGGCUCACUGGCCCGGUACUGACGCUGAGGUGCGAAAGCGUGGGGAGCAAACAGG